GCCGGGCGUGGUGGCUCAUGCCUGUAAUCCCAGCAUUUUGGGAGGCCGAGGCAGGCGGAUCACCUGAGGUCAGGAGUUCGAGGCCAGCCUGGCCAACAUGGUGAAACCCCGUCUCUC
rnacentral:SRP_RNA from 2 species